AUGGUGAGCAUCUCAGCCGGCAACUCUUUCAAAGGCGUAUGGAAGAAGGUGGAGGCUAAGAGAGGGCGUAGGACGGUUCAUGCGAGGUGGGAUACGGAAGGAAGCGGUGCCAAAGAAGGGGGUAGGAGGAGCUCAACGUUUUAUUUCACCGAGUUUGAUGAUAAAUGGUGUGCCAAGGAUCUUUUUAUCGAGUUCAAAGAGCCGGGUGAUAUUGAUGAGUUUGUUAUACCUCCCACAAGGGACAAGAGAGGUAGAAGGUUCAGCUUCGUUCGCUAUUUCAAUAUCGAGGACGAAAGAUUGUUGGCAACGAAACGCGAUAAUCUGUUUCUCGACGAUAGGAAACUCUUCGCCAAUGUUCCUAGGUUUCAGAGAAGGCCCAGUUUUAAGGGGAAGAUGGAGAGGUAA